UAACGCUUUACGUAGACCUACGCACGGACGGGGGGCAAGGCCUGAGUCCCUGACAGGGUCUGUGGAUUCGCGACUUCCUGUCGGUGGGCUCUGGAGGUCAGAGGUCUGAAAUGGGUUUCACCGAACUAAGGACAGGACUGGAAGCCCUGGGGGCGAAUCCGUUUUCUUGUCGUUUCCAGCUUCUAUGUACUGUGCACAUUCCUUUGCUCAUGGUGCCCUUCCUCCAUUAACAAAGCCAGAGAGUUCAGGUUGGAUCCUUCUUACAUCCAAUGCUCUCUCACUUUUUUUUGGCGUUUUUUAUUGUAUUUUUUUUCCAUUUGCAUUUAGCCCCCUUAUACUCCUCUCUCCCUACUUUCUUUCACUCUUAAGGACCCCUGUAAUACACUGGGUCCACCUGAUAAUCCAGUAUCGUCUUCCAAUUUUAAAGUCAUCUGGUUAGUAGCCUUAAUUCCAUUGUAGCUUUUCUUCCCCUUUGCCAUGUAACAUAACAUACAGACUCCAGGGAUUCAGAUGUGGACAUCUUUGAGCAGGCUGUUAUUCUGCCUACCACAGAAAGUAUAUCUACAGUCUCCACGAUAUAACAUUCACAAUGUACAGGAUACAAUAAAAAUAUUCAACAUAUGAAGAACAUGGAAAAUGUGACCCUUUUCCCAGGAACAGGAAAAUCAACAGAGGCUGACCCUGAGAUGACCCAGAUGUUGAAACAAUCAGACAAGGACUUGAUGCAGCUAUUGUAACUGUGCUCAUUGAGAUAAAGUAACAUGUUGUUGUAAUGAAUGAAAAGGUAGAAAAUCUCAGCAGAGAAAUAGACAAUAUAAAAAGCCAAACGGAAAUUUUAGAAUUAAAAUAUCUGAAAUAAAUUUCAUGAGAUAGGAUUAAGAACAGAAUUAAAAAAGAGUCAAUACUUGAAGGUCAAUCAAUAGAAAUGAUCAAAACUGAAGAAGUGGGGGGGAGUGAAUAGAGCCUUAGGGACCUGUGGACAACAUGAAAAGACAUCUUAUUGAAGUCUCAAAAGGAGAGGAAAAAGAGAGAGAGAGGGUGGAAUGAUAUUUGAAAAAAUAAUACCUCUAUGCUGCCCACAUUUGGUUAAAACUCAAGCAGCUCAGCAAACCCUAAAAAGCAUAAAUGUGAAGAAAAUACUCUUGUCACAGAAUACUAAAAACCAAUGACAACAAGAAGAUCUCGAAAGCAUUCAGAAAAAAGUGAUGUCACAUACAUGAGACCAAUAAUUUGAAUGGCCAUGGGUUUACUAUAAACUAUGGAGCCUGGAAGACAGAGGAACAAGAUUUUUUAAGUGCCAGAAAAAGAAAAUUCCCUAAGGUGUAGGCACCCUGGAACUUUGUAUCCAGAGAAAAUAUCAUUUGGCAAUAAAAAAGAAUGAAGUAUUGAUACAUGCUGUGACAUGGAUGAAACUUGAACACAUUUUGCUAAGUGAGAGAAACCAGUCACAAAAAAACACAUAUUUCAUAAUCCCAUUUAUAUGAAAUGAUCAGAAUAGCCAAAUCUAUAAAGACAGUGUAUCAGUGGCUGCCUAAGGCUGGAGGAUGGAAGGAAUGAGGGAUGACUGUUAAAUGAUAUGGCGUCUCUUUUGGGGGUGAUGAAAAUGCUUUAAAAUUGAUUGCGAUGAUUGCACAACACCAUGAGCUUAACUAAAAUCCCCUCCAGACCGCUGCAGGAAUUGUUCUACUUCACUGGUUCUCCACAAGAUCUACUCGGCACACAGCAAGCACCUGAUCAAAUUUCCUAAAACGGGGCUCUGUGAUGGGUACCUUUAUGCAUCAACUCGACUGUGAAGGGAUGCCCAGAUAGCUGGUAAAACAUGGUUUUUGGGUGUUUCUGUGAGGGCGCCUGUGGGAGAGAUUAGCAUUUGAAUUGGCAGGCUGAAGAAACUAUCACCUUUACCGAUGCUGGUGGGCAUGGUUCAGUUCGCUGAGGGCUUGAAUGGAAGAAGGCAGAGGACAGGUGAACUCACUCUCUGCUUGUGCUGAGACGUCCAUCUUCUCUUGACUUUGGGCAACGGUGCUUCUGGUUCUGGGGCCUUUGACUUGGACUGAAUUCUAUUACUGGCUUUCCUGGUUCUCCAGCUUGCAGACAGCAGAUUGUGGGGUUUAUCAGUCUCCAUAAUUGCAUGAGCCAAUUCCUACAAUAAAUCUUGUCUUAUAUAUCUCUAUAUGUCCUAUUGGUUCUCUUUUUUGGAGAACACUGACUGAUACACACUCCAUCUCUUUCCAAGGCCCUACUCCCUAGCAUCAAAAGCACUUCAUAAUCUGCCUUCACCUUGCUUCUCCAACCUUAUCUGUUGCCCCUAACUUCUGCCUUGCCCAGAGCAGAUGCUGGGCUUUCUCACUGUUACUAGUCUUUUCAUGAAGUGCAUGAGGUAAACUCUUUGUUGCUUUGUGUGAUUUCCCAACUAAAUUCUAAGUCCUUUGGAUAAUAUUAAUAACAAUAAAGCA